CGGGGAAUUUUGGACAAUAGGCGCAAGCCUGAUCCAGCCAUUCCGCGUGCAGGACGAAGGCCUUCGGGUUGUAAACUGCUUUUGUACGGAACGAAAAGGCUCUGGCUAAUACCUGGGGCUCAUGACGGUACCGUAAGAAUAAGCACCGGCUAACUACGUGCCAGCAGCCGCGGUAAUACGUAGGGUGCAAGCGUUAAUCGGAAUUACUGGGCGUAAAGCGUGCGCAGGCGGUUAUGUAAGACAGAGGUGAAAUCCCCGGGCUCAACCUGGGAACUGCCUUUGUGACUGCAUAGCUGGAGUACGGGAGAGGGGGAUGGAAUUCCGCGUGUAGCAGUGAAAUGCGUAGAUAUGCGGAGGAACACCGAUGGCGAAGGCAAUCCCCUGGGCCUGUACUGACGCUCAUGCACGAAAGCGUGGGGAGCAAACAG
rnacentral:rRNA from 1 species